GAUGAACGCUGGCGGCGUGCUUAACACAUGCAAGUCGAACGAGAAGUGAAGACGGAAACCUUCGGGCGGAAGGCUUUAUUUCGAGUGGCGGACGGGUGAGUAACGCGUGGGUAACCUGCCUCAUACAGGGGGAUAACAGUUGGAAACGACUGUUAAUACCGCAUAAGACCACAGCACCGCAUGGUGCGGGGGUAAAAACUCCGGUGGUAUGAGAUGGACCCGCGUUCGAUUAGCCAGUUGGCGGGGUAACGGCCCACCAAAGCGACGAUCGAUAGCCGAUCUGAGAGGAUGACCGGCCACAUUGGGACUGAGACACGGCCCAAACUCCUACGGGAGGCAGCAGUGGGGAAUAUUGCACAAUGGGGGAAACCCUGAUGCAGCGACGCCGCGUGAGUGAAGAAGUAUUUCGGUAUGUAAAGCUCUAUCAGCAGGGAAGAAAAUGACGGUACCUGAGUAAGAGGCCCCGGCUAACUACGUG
rnacentral:rRNA from 1 species